rnacentral:rRNA from 1 species
CGGUAAUACGGAGGGUGCGAGCGUUGUUCGGAAUUAUUGGGCGUAAAGCGCGUGUAGGCGGUUGCUUAAGUCUGAUGUGAAAGCCCUGGGCUCAACCCGGGAAGUGCAUUGGAAACUGGGCAACUUGAGUACGGGAGAGGAUAGUGGAAUUCCGAGUGUAGGGGUGAAAUCCGUAGAUAUUCGGAGGAACACCGGUGGCGAAGGCGGCUAUCUGGACCGAUACUGACGCUGAGACGCGAAAGCGUGGGGAGCAAACAGGAUUAGAUACCCUGGUAGUCCACGCCGUAAACGAUGGGUACUAGGUGUUGCGGGUAUUGACCCCUGCAGUGCCGAAGCUAACGCAUUAAGUACCCCGCCUGGGGAGUACGGUCGCAAGACUAAA